GCAUAUCAAUAAGCGGAGGAAAAGAAACCAACAGGGAUUGCCCUAGUAACGGCGAGUGAAGCGGCAACAGCUCAAAUUUGAAAUCUGGCUCUCGGGCCCGAGUUGUAAUUUGUAGAGGAUGCUUUUGAUGCGGUGCCUUCCGAGUUCCCUGGAACGGGACGCCAUAGAGGGUGAGAGCCCCGUCUGGUUGGAUGCCAAAUCUCUGUAAAGCUCCUUCAACGAGUCGAGUAGUUUGGGAAUGCUGCUCUAAAUGGGAGGUAUAUGUCUUCUAAAGCUAAAUACCGGCCAGAGACCGAUAGCGCACAAGUAGAGUGAUCGAAAGAUGAAAAGCACUUUGAAAAGAGAGUUAAAAAGUACGUGAAAUUGUUGAAAGGGAAGCGUUUAUGACCAGACUUGGACUUGGUUAAUCAUCUGGGGUUCUCCCCAGUGCACUUUUCCAGUUCAGGCCAGCAUCAGUUUUCCCCGGGGGAUAAAGGCGGCGGGAAUGUGGCUCUCUUCGGGGAGUGUUAUAGCCCGCCGUGUAAUACCCUGGGGGGGACUGAGGUUCGCGCAUCUGCAAGGAUGCUGGCGUAAUGGUCAUCAACGACCCG
rnacentral:rRNA from 1 species